GCCAGGUGUGGUGGUGCAUCCCUGUAAUCCCGGCUACUCAGGAGGCUGAGGCAGGGGACUUGCUUGAGUCUGGGAGGCAGAGGUUGCAGUGAGCUGAGAUCACGCCACUGCACUCUAGCCUAGGUGACAAAGCAAGACUCUGUCUCAA
rnacentral:SRP_RNA from 1 species